GUGAAGUUAAAAUGAACUAUUUGGGGAAACCAUAUGUAGCUAUGGUUACAACCUACCAAAUGGCAGUUCUUCUUGCCUUUAACAACAGUGAAACUGUCAGCUACAAAGAGCUUCAAGACAGCACCCAGAUGAAUGAAAAGGAGCUAACUAAAACAAUCAAAUCAUUACUUGAUGUGAAAAUGAUUAACCAUGAUUCAGAAAAGGUAACCUUCCCAAGGACUUCAGCCCUUAGCAGAUAGAGGAUCUUGUGUGGGAUAUUGGUAGUUUUAAGGUUGUAUGAUAUUCAGAUGACUCUGUGAGUUAGCUUAGCGACUUUCCUAGGAGAAAAGGCCUUGACUUUUCCAACAAUAAACAAAAUGCUAUUGGGGGUUAACUGGAUCCAUCAGAGCCUUGGAAGCAACAGUUAUUUCUUCCAGGGUCAACUCUGGAAGUUGUAGUUAGUAUUGUGGUUACUGCAGCAGUGUCAGGCAGAAGAUAAUGUGUAUAAUGUCUGGGCCUUAAAAUAGCUACUUCCUACAUAGAAACUGAGUAACAUUAUGGUAAAUGUGAAAUCAGAAAAAAAAAUUUGUUUUAAAUAUAGGAAGAUAUCGAUGCAGAAUCUUCAUUUUCACUAAAUAUGAGCUUCAGCAGUAAGAGAACAAAAUUUAAGAUUACUACAUCAAUGCAGAAGGAUACACCACAAGUAAGUACUGGCUUGAAUGUCAUCUCUCCUAGAAAUAUCUAGGCGCAGUGCAUUGAGUGAGUCUACUUUAUACCAAGAUGUUGUGCACUGAGUGCUAACCACUGCACCUUGCUACAGCUCCAUCUGAAAGCAUCUUGGCCCAGAGGCUCACUCUUAAAAUACUGU
rnacentral:lncRNA from 1 species